ensembl:lncRNA RAB30-DT RAB30 divergent transcript
AGAGUGAAGGAGCAAAGGGGACUCGGCCGCCAUGUUAGGAGUACUGGGACGAUUCCGCGGAGCCGGGCAGAGGUUUUAGGGGAAUGAUUAACAAAGGCGUCCGAAGAAAUCGUUGUUGGAAGGUGACCAAGGUGGAAAGAGACGUUGCUUUGGCCCUGCAAGUAAGAAGAGAGAGGGAAUAGCCUGAAGGAGUAACACUAAAUUUAAAAUGACACUUUUUUACCAACCAGCGAAAGCAGAUGUUCAAAGGGGAUAUUGGCCAGGUGGGUUGGGGGAGAAGGAGCCAAUUCAAUGUCUAGUCUUUACUGGAAAGAAGAAACUUUACAGCGCAUUUUGAGCAAUUUAGUGCAGAGUCUCAGUGGGUCAACUGGCGGGGCACCAGAUAGUAAUGGAUUUCACAGUUAGGGCAUUGCUGGGUCUCACCUUUGUGCAGCCAAAAACUAGAGGACAGCACUGUUGUACUCUUCACAGAUGCAGCCCACUAUUCACUUGUUGGUGAUGGAG